AUGAGGCACUGCAGGACAGGACUGCUGCUUUUAACUAUCUGCUUGGCAGGCGUUUCCAGUCAGACUCUGAGUGAGUCUGAACCAGCGGUGAAGCUCCCAGGAGAAUCCCAUAAACUGACCUGUACCUAUGCAGGAAUAUCAGAUGGUGAUGCUCAUAUCAGCUGGAUCAGACAAGCUGAAGGAAAAGGACUGGAGUGGAUUGCUUCCAUUUCUGCUCCCAGUGGAAGUGAUAAAUAUUAUUCCACGUCUGUCCUGAAUCGUUUCACCAUUUCCAGAGACAACGCCGUGGACCAGGUGUCUCUGCAGAUGAACAGUCUGACGACUGAAGACUCUGCUGUUUAUUAUUGUGCUCGGAGGCAACAGUGA